rnacentral:rRNA from 1 species
UACGUAGGGUGCAAGCGUUGUCCGGAAUUAUUGGGCGUAAAGAGCUCGUAGGCGGUCUGUCACGUCGGGAGUGAAAACACGGGGCUUAACCCCGUGCCUGCUUCCGAUACGGGCAGACUAGAGGUAUGCAGGGGAGAACGGAAUUCCUGGUGUAGCGGUGAAAUGCGCAGAUAUCAGGAGGAACACCGGUGGCGAAGGCGGUUCUCUGGGCAUUACCUGACGCUGAGGAGCGAAAGUGUGGGGAGCGAACAGG